rnacentral:rRNA from 1 species
UACAGAGGUCUCAAGCGUGUUUCGGAUUCAAUUGGGCGUAAAGGGUGCGUAGGUGGCGCUGUAAGUCAGGUGUGAAAUUUCGGAGCUUAACUCCGAAACUGCAUUUGAUACUGCGGUGCGUCGAGGACUGGAGAGGAGACUGGAAUUUACGGGUGUAAGCAGUGAAAUGCGUAGAGAUCGUAAGGAAGACCAGUGGCGAAGGCGGGUCUCGUGGACCGGUAAUUGGACGCUGAGGUGCGAAAGCGUGGGGAGCAAACAGG